UGGCAAUGAGGACAACAUUUCAUUACAAUGAUUCUAUGUGAAUUACAAAUUAUACGCUAUUCUGAGCCGAUG